rnacentral:tmRNA from 1 species
GGGGGCGUACCGGGUUCGACGGGGGACAUGUUGGGUCGCCGGCAGCGUGCCGUGGCCCGCCGCCACGCUAAACAGGCGGACACACAUAGCUGCCAACACUGAGCUAGCACUGGCUGCUUAACCGCAGUCACGUCGUGAUCGCCGGCUCUCGCCUGCGAACCUGAUCACGGCGCCGCCAAAGCAGGCUGGACCGCCGCCGCGCCCGGGAGCGGCGGUCGAGACGCUCCGGGCUGGCCGCGACGGACGGGAGCCUACACCCAGCCGCUGCGGCGAGAUCCAAUCGUAGGCUGCGCACGGAGACACCUGCGGCCCAAGUCUUCCGGACGGGGGUUCGAUUCCCCCCGCCUCCACCA